rnacentral:rRNA from 1 species
CGUAAAGCGCGCGCAGGCGGCUAUUUAAGUUGGAUGUGAAAGCCUACGGCUCAACCGUAGAACUGCAUCCAAAACUAUUUAGCUAGAGUGUGGGAGAGGAAGAUGGAAUUAGUUGUGUAGGGGUAAAAUCCGUAGAGAUAACUAGGAAUACCAAAAGCGAAGGCAAUCUUCUGGAACACUACUGACGCUGAGGCGCGAAGGCGUGGGGAGCAAACAGGAUUAGAUACCCUGGUAGUCCACGCAGUAAACGAUGAAUGUUAGUCGUCGGGUAGCUAGUCUAUUCGGUGAUGCAGCUAGCGCAUUAAACAUUCCGCCUGGGGAGUACGGUCGCAAGAUUAAAACUCAAAGGAAUAGACGGGGACCCGCACAAGUGGUGGAGCAUGUGGUUUAAUUCGAAGAUACGCGAAGAACCUUACCUAGCCUUGACAUAUUUUAGAAUCUUUCAGAGAUGAGAGAGUGCCUUCGGGAGCUAAUAUACAGGUGCUGCACGGCUGUCGUCAGCUCGUGUCGUGAGAUGUUGGGUUAAGUCCCGCAACGAGCGCAGCCCUCGUCACUAGUUACUAACGGUUCGGCCGAGGACUCUAGUGAGACUGCCUUCGUAAGGAGGAGGAAGGUGAGGACGACGUCAAGUCAUCAUGGCCCUUACGGCUAGGGCAACACACGUGCUACAAUGGCCAGGACAAUGAGACGCGAUACCGCGAGGUGGAGCAAAUCUAUAAACCUGGUCUCAGUUCGGAUUGUAGUCUGCAACUCGACUACAUGAAGCU